CCGGGGGGCGGGGCCGCGGGAAACUGCUAGCGAAAUUACUAGCGUGCGCUCUGCGCAGUAGGGCCUUAGAGGCCAGCCGGACGCGCCAUGACCGUAGGGAGUGCGUGUGGCUGGGCCGCGGGGGUCCUUGGCGUGGUCUUCCUGGCGCUCCAGUUCGACUCCAUCAGCUGUAAUUCCCUGAUGUUUGGAACUGUGAACGGGAGCGUAACUUUCCCUGUAUCAAGCUCUGUAUCCUUAACAGAGAUUAUGUGGACAAAAAAUAGGGAUAAAGUCCUUGAAUGGGAAGCAGACUCUCCCGUCAGAGCUUUCCCACCUUUUGUAGACAGAGUUCAUUUAAACACCACAUCAGGAAGCCUUACCAUCUUCAACCUAACAUCUUCGGAUGAGGGGGACUAUAAACUGGAUUCUGGCGACACUUCGUUCACUCUGAAGGUGAUUGGUCCUCUUCCGUCUCCAACACUAAAUUGCACCUUGGCUGCUGAAGACAUUACAAUCAAUUGCAGGAUCCCAGAAUCUUACAAUUUCACACAAUAUUUAAACUAUUCAUGGAACUGCUUUCCGGCACUGUGUAAAAAUGGCUCCAAUAUGUCUGAAGUGUUGAUUAAGAGGAACAAUGAUCUCUCGCAGGAAAUACGCUGUACUGUUCACAGUCCGUUGUCCAAACAGACAUCCUUGCUUGUCUUAGCAACCUGUGUCCCAGAUGGUGAGCAUUCAAGGAACAGGUUUACAAUUAUACCAGCAGUAGUCCUAGUAGCCCUAGUAGCAGGAGUAACUUUUUUGCUGUUUAAAAGAGGUUUUCCGCAACGUGGCAGAGAAACAGAGAGAACCGAAGAUGACUCAUCAGGAAGAGAGGUUGAGGAGGAGCGGAAACCGUCCCCAGGAGCCACAUGUGGCCAGGAGCAGAUAACCCCCAGAAGGAGCGACAGCUCACAUAACAGUGCUUAAGGUCUCAGCUUUGUUCUUUGGAGGUUUCAGUGAUGCUCAAAGACUGGGUCGGUUUGAGGAAACGGGACUGAAUCCCCAGUUGACCGGUACUUCAAGAUGAUCAAAUGUAUAGUGACUAAGUUAUUUAAAUAAUGGAAUCAAAAGCCAUCUGAUUUGCUGUUCAAGUAUUCUGUCAUCUUCAAGGACAUUUUGGAACUCUAAUCUGAAGUGACCCUCCACCAGAAGAGUCUUUUUUGGGAAGAAAUAUCAACUAUUAACCAGAACUAGUAUCUACCCUAUCCCUGCUCUGGUCUCCAACUAGAUACUGUAAAUGGUUUUUUGAUUCUCAGUUUCUUACUGCCAAUUUUCUAUCAGAUAUACACGUGUAAAUAUGUAAAUAUAUCCUAAAUGGUAGGUGGUUUGGCUUUAUUUUUUCCUCUUAGGUCAGAAAACUAUUCUGAGUCAUCUACCUCAGGAGGUGGAGGUCUUUUUACUUAGAUCCGUCCUCCGCUUCUCUUUUGUCUUAGAGGGAAAAGAAUUCAUUGCAGGAUGGGUAGUGGAGUGAGGAGGAGAUGGACAAAACACGUUCCGUGUGCUGGGUCCAUGGCUCUUGACAGGACGCGAGAAUACACGGGUCUUUUGUUUACUUCGCUAAGACCAGAUUGCCGCCAUCUACACACAGGGGGACUUGUCACAUGAAGGUCUCUUAACGCACUCAGUGUCUGGUGUUAGCUGUCACACGGGCAGGGAAAUAGCAGAGAACUUUUAAAAACUCUGAAGUCCUAUACAAAUGCAGAACAACAGCCUCUCCUGAAUGAGGAAGCAGAUGGUGCUGGCUAUCCCUCGGGUCACCAUCAUACAUACCAAAGUCCAAGGCCCUUAGCUCCUGAACCCACACUACCCCUGGAGCUCCUCUCACAUGAGAGUCUUCAGCCUGAAAGAGGAAACACCGCUUUAUCACACCAAGGCAAAGCGUGCUGAAAGGAGCCCCAUGAGACUGCUCUCUCUGGCCCCCUCACAGUUAUCAGCAAGAAUGAGGCGGGGGCCUGGGAGCCCCGAGUACUCUUGGGAAGAGCCCUACUUCCCCCUGCUCCUUCCACCUCUGGGCAGCAGAGCUUCCUAUCAACGUAUGUGUCUGGCUCAUCUUGUGAAACCCUUUUAUUUCAGGCCCUGUGGGGAGCCUGGGAAUCCCAGACCUUCCUUCACCUUCCAGACCUUCAUCUCCAGAUGCUCUGUAAGGCUGUUUCUGACCCCUUCAUCAGCAGCAAGAUUCCUAGGAUUCUCUGCUAUGAAUGUUCCCUCCACCUUUCUGUUCUCACCGGAACCCGACUGUGGCUGCUGCUUCCCGAUGCCCUCUCAAGGGCCAGCUGCUUCCUCUCUUGGGUUCCUUGGACACUGGGCAAGAAGGAGGCCUGGCAUCCUCUUGGCUCCUGUCUGCUUCCAGCCCAUGCCUCCUUCCUCAGUUCCGAUGGGCAAACCAACAGAUCACCACCACCAGACAUUCCCUUUUCUAGCAUCUUCGUUGUUCCUCAACCUGUGAAGAUUUUAGCGCUAAGCCCAGGUCACUCUCCUAAUAUGCCUCCCUUCCGAAUCUGAGUGUGCUUGCAGAACCCCAGAUCCAGUGCCCUGGCAUGGUCUGCCCCAAGUAUCUUGCCCCCUGUCCCUUCCCAGCAGCCACUGCCCUGGUCUUAUCCCUGACCUUCCACCAGCAAUGCCUGCAGCCCCUCACAGUCCCUGUUACAGGUGUCCCUGCUCCUCUCUCCAUCUUGCACAUCUCUCCCUGAGGGCCCUGCUCCACAGACCCCCACUGGCCCCCACUGGCCUGCUGCUGCAGCGACCUCUUGUUCCCAGAGCCACGCUGGGUUUUCAUGUUCAUCGUGAGAGUGACUCCUCUACCUUUACUCUUUUACCCUCCCACUUGUCCUCAUUUGGCCAGAUCCUAACAAGGUGGGCAGAGUCACCUCUGCUGGUUCCCUCCCUGCACCUGAGCUGCUGAGCACCCCUUCAGGCAAAGACAGCCCUGGGCUGAGUAGGGUCAUCUUGGACUGCAGACCCCCGGGGGGCUCGCACUGGUCUCAGAUGGCCUUGAAGCAUUGCCCAGGUCUGCUCACUCUCUCUUCCCCUCUUUUCCUAGACCUGUAGCCCUGUGUCUGCAUGCUCUGCUGCUCGCCUCACUUCCUCUGUCACCGAAAUAAAAGCAUACAGAAAAAUGUCCCACCACGUGUCUGCACACCCCGCUCGCUGCAUUGGCAGCCGUGUCUUUUGCUUCCCCUCCUGAGACUGUUUGAACACUCCUUGCUCCUUCUGAACCCAGUCUCCCCCACCUUGUCUUUGUCUGCUGGGGCCACCAUAACAAAAUACCAGUGACUUAAAAAACAAUUUAGACUGGGCGACUUAAAAAACAAAUUUAUUUUCUCAUGGCUCUAGAGGCUAGAAAGUCCAAGAUCAAGGUGCCGGCUGGUUUGGUUCCCGGUGAGGGCGCUCUUCCUGGUUUGCAGGUGGCUGCCUUCUUGCUGCGUCCUCUCAUGGCUGGGAAAGAGCCCCGGUGUCCCUUCUCUUCUUCUGAGGGCACCAGCUCUAUCAGAGCAGGUUUCCCCCUCCUGACCCUAUGUAACCUUUGUCACCUCCUCACUGUUCUGUCUCCAAAUAGCGUCACCCGGGGUUUAGGGUCUCAAUAUGUGAGUCUUAGGACAAAAUGUUCCUUCUAUAACGCUGCUUCUGUGUGGGAUCCCACCCGCCCUCAUCUACUUAAGGAGAUCACUCCUUGGCUGUCUCCCACAUCAUCAGCAUUCACCUUUCUGCUACACCACACAAACAGAAUGUCAUUUUCCAUAUCUUCAAAAAACCAAAAUACCCUUGAUACACUUCCCCAACUGGCCUUUGUCUCAAUUUUCCACUAUCUUUAAUGGAAAAUUUUCUCAAAAGAAAUGAUCUGUACUUCCUUUUUUCUGACUCCUCCCCUCCUUUCUUGAACCUACUUCUAUCAGGCUGUGGUCCCCACUGCUUGUCAAGGUUACCAGGGACGCCCCCCCACCCCUCCCACCUAGGAUCUGGUGGGCAGCUCUCCAGCUUCAUCUUGCCGUGUCUGUAAGCAACAUUUGACUCCCACAUAGUUAGUACUGUAGGUGCCCGGUUCUGUGGGGUAUACGAGAGGAAAGCUUGUGAUGUGAUAGGGUAAACAGAUCUGUGAGCACUUGGGGUGAAUGUACGAAGUCCUAAAAUGGAAGCCUAUACAAAGAACGAAGGAAUUACAGCCGUACGAUCCAGCUGUUCCACUCCUUGGUAUAUACCCAAGAGAAAUAAAAAGAUGUUA